AGUCUCUGAUUCCCUUUCCCAUCAGAUCUUGACCUUGCUCUGUUUGUUGGUAAAGGGGGAAGAGCACACUGAAGCUCUCCUCACAGCAAUGCGUUCUGGUACAGAGUACAGGGCCAAACUCAAAUAUGC
rnacentral:snoRNA from 1 species